rnacentral:rRNA from 2 species
CCUAACACAUGCAAGUCGAACGAGAGGCCGUAGCAAUACGGUCGUACAGUGGCGAACGGGUGAGGAAGACGUGGGUAACCUACCCUCGAGUGGGGAAUAACCCGCCGAAAGGCGGGCUAAUACCGCGUACGCUUCUGUUCCUUCGGGGACGGAAGGAAAGCUGUGCCGUGGGCAUGGCGCUCAAGGAUGGGCUCACGCCCUAUCAGCUUGUUGGUAGGGUAACGGCCUACCAAGGCAACGACGGGUAGCUGGGCUGAGAGGACGAUCAGCCACACUGGCACUGCGACACGGGCCAGACUCCUACGGGAGGCAGCAGUGAGGAAUAUUGCGCAAUGGGCGAAAGCCUGACGCAGCGACGCCGCGUGGGGGAUGAAGGUCUUCGGAUUGUAAACCCCUUUCGGGAGGGAAGAUGGAACGGGCAACCGUUCGGACGGUACCUCCAGAAGAAGCCACGGCUAACUUCGUGCCAGCAGCCGCGGUAAUACGAAGGUGGCAAGCGUUGUUCGGAUUUACUGGGCGUAAAGGGAGCGUAGGCGGUUGGGUAAGCCCUUUGGGAAAGCUCCCGGCUAAACCGGGAAAGGUCGAAGGG